GCCUUCGGAGUGUAGUGGUCAGCACGCUCGACGCGUAAUCAAGAGGUCCGUGGUUCAAGUCCCGACGAGGGCA
rfam:Stegodyphus mimosarum contig65545, whole genome shotgun sequence.